ACUCAGCUGCGAAGCCCAGGCGCCACGGAUCGUUCAUUUCGCCCAACGGCGGCGGGAGCUGCUCGGGUGUAGAAGUUGUGAGGGAGCUGUUGCUCUCUCUCUCUCUCUCUCUCUCUCUUUUUUUUGUCUGCGCGUUAUUCCGCUCAGAAGGACGUUUAACCCAGGUCAAUAUAUAUAUAGGCCAUCUAUACGGGAGCACAAGUCGUUAGAAGCAGGAAAUCUUCUAAUAAGGGUAGGUAAAAUAACUUCCCCCGUUAAGGAGCGUCUGUGCUCUUUGCAAGCAUCCGGCGUGGGCAAAACCGUGGUAGAUCAGCUCAACAGCCGCUGGAAAACUUGGCCAAAAGCAUACAGUGUCGCUUUGUUUUGGGGUUGAAAAGGAUCCCCACCUGCACGCAUGCAGGUACGCACCCAUGCACGCUUUUACGGGCUGGGGAUGGAGGUUAGCUCAAAAAUAAAACGGAUGACCUGACUCCUUUAUCGGGGUGGCAGAAAAGUAGGCAGUUUCUAGAGAGUGAAUGGGCGGUGCAAUCAAUUUUUCACAUAGGUGUUGCUUUCCCUUUUAGAAGAGGUCAAAAACGUCAAGAUGGCAGCCACUGUCAUGGUUGAAGCGCCACUCCGUUGAAGCGCCACCACCUUAAUCACGUGAGGCAGUGGUUAAAAUACAGCAUUGUAGGCAGUGAAAGAUUUUCACUAAGGUCAUUUUGGUGAAGACUAGGGUAUUUUGUGGGCAAACAGUUAACUCGUGUAAAACCUGUAACAACUUGUAUCUUAACAUGUCCUAGCAACACCACUUUUCUGGGCUUUACUCACAAUGUUGACACAGUGGUUAGAAUGCAGUAUUGCAGGCGAAUUCUGCUGACUGCCGACUGCCAGCAAUUCGGCUGUUCAAUCCUCACUGGCUCAUGGUUGACUCAGCUUUCCAUCCUUCCAAGCAUAAAGUGACAAAAGGAACGGAGGGUUAUUGCACAUGUCUGGAUAUUCAGACAGGCAAGAAGACAUUUCUUUUGAAUAUUUGCUGAGAAUCUUGACAACAGAAAGAAAACUGUGCACUAAUUCUGCUAAAUGUGAGAGAAACAAGAAGGCCAAUCAUUAAGUUCAUUGAAGAAGAGUUUGAUUUUAAAAAGCCAGUUACCAAAUCAUCCAUGGAGCCAAGUUGAUAAAAGAAGUGCUUGUUCUUCAGUGAAAGGAUGGACGAUAUUGGAUCCUCCCCCAUUCACUAGUCAUCAUUGUCGAAAAGCUAUUAGCACAGGAAUAAAGACCUCAAGUAAGGUCUUUCCUCUUCCCAUAAGCAUUUGCUGAAGCUAAUGCAAUUACCUUUUCCUGAGGAAAUGCUAUUUGAACACUUGCUUUGAAGCAGUUCCUCUCUGGAUCAAGAAGUUAUAACUGGCUAUGAGCUCAAGUUUUGGCUGCAUCCCAGGGACAUCACCUGAUCUGCACCAGCUCUUGGCUUGGAAGAGGACUCCAAAGAACAGCAGGAACCAGUGCAGAGGACAAUAUGGAGACUGUUGUGGUGCAGGGAGGAUUGCAAUUCAAUGCAAUGCAGUUCCCCUUUUGGCUCAAUAUAGUGAGGAUUGUGGGUCUGGUAGACGCUUCUUCCUGGAUCCCUGCGCAAACUCCAUCACUCCUUGGAAUUCCUCCAAACUGAUGUUGAUUUCUGGCUGGGGCUGCAGCAAGCUGCUUGGCUCUUCUGGUGGCUAAUUGGAGUCUGCUUCGUGCUGGCAUCUGCUGACGGGUGGACAUCAGACUUGGGCAACAUCCAUCAUCAUGGACCAUCCUGUCUUAUGGUAAUGAGAAUUGUAGUUUGCAGUAGCUGGAAGAAGCCAGAUUGCAAAAGUCUGGUUCAUUUUGUUUGAUUGGGUCUUUUAAAAGGCAUUAAAAUAUAACAAAAGAACAUAGUCUUCCAAAUAAGACUUUUGAUCUGUGGUUCUCUUUCUCUGCAGCCAGUUCCAAUCAGGGUUGAUAGGUGGGGAAAGGCACAACCUGAAGUUUGUGGGGUGACUUUCUUAAGUUCUUGUUUUGUAUGUCCAUAAAGCCACUUAAUGAAGCUAUCUAUCAAUAUAUGGUCAAGUAUCAUCAAUAUGUUGAUACCUAGCUAUGUAUCUCAACAUCUGGUUAACCAAGUGAUUUGUUGAGAUCUUUUCUCAAUACCCAGAGAUUAUUUGAUUUUCAAUGGUUUCAUUUUUUAUUUUACAUUAUUUUAUGCAGAUACGUUUGAAAAAUGUAUUAAUAAAAAUAUAUGGUUUAAAAAAAA